rnacentral:rRNA from 1 species
AUCGAACGCUGGCGGCAUGCCUUACACAUGCAAGUCGAACGGUAACGGGCCUUCGGGUGCCGACGAGUGGCGAACGGGUGAGUAAUACAUCGGAACGUGCCCGAUCGUGGGGGAUAACGAGGCGAAAGCUUUGCUAAUACCGCAUACGAUCUACGGAUGAAAGCAGGGGACCGCAAGGCCUUGCGCGGACGGAGCGGCCGAUGGCAGAUUAGGUAGUUGGUGGGAUAAAAGCUUACCAAGCCGACGAUCUGUAGCUGGUCUGAGAGGAUGAUCAGCCACACUGGGACUGAGACACGGCCCAGACUCCUACGGGAGGCAGCAGUGGGGAAUUUUGGACAAUGGGCGCAAGCCUGAUCCAGCCAUGCCGCGUGCAGGAUGAAGGCCUUCGGGUUGUAAACUGCUUUUGUACGGAACGAAAAGCCUUCUUUUAAUACAGGAGGGUCAUGACGGUACCGUAAGAAUAAGCACCGGCUAACUACGUG